rnacentral:rRNA from 1 species
AGUGAACGCUGGCGGCAGGCCUAACACAUGCAAGUCGAACGAACACACAGUGAGAGUUUGCCUUUACGGGUGGCGAGGGACGGGUGGGUAACGCAUGCAUCGGAUACCUAUUUUACUGGGGGGAUAACGUGGAACAAGAUACACUAAUGCAGAAUACAUUCAACGGGUGGGAUCAAUGGUUAUUGACGCCUUUCGCGAUAGUAAUAGAUGAUUCCGGGUCGGAUUAGCUAGUUGGUAAGGUAACGGCCUAGCAAGGCAACGAUGCGUAGCUGAUCUGAGAGGGUGAUCGGCCACACUGGAACUGAGACACGGUCCAGACUCCUACGGGAGGCAGCAGUGGGGAAUCUUGCGCAAUGGGCGAAAGCCUGACCCAGCCAUACCGCGUGAGUGAAGAAGGCCUUCGGGUCGUAAAGCCCUGUUGUUAGGAAAGAAAAGAAGUAGAUUAAUACACCGCUGUUCUGACGGUACCCAAAGAAUAAGCCCCGGCUAACUUCGUG